GAGCGCCGUAGCAAUACGGAGCGGCAGACGGGAGAGUAACACGUGGGAACGUGCCCUUCAGUUCGGAACAACCCAGGGAAACUUGGGCUAAUACCGGAUACGUCCGAAAGGAGAAAGAUUUAUCGCUGAAGGAUCGGCCCGCGUCUGAUUAGCUAGUUGGUGAGGUAACGGCUCACCAAGGCGACGAUCAGUAGCUGGUCUGAGAGGAUGAUCAGCCUCACUGGGACUGAGACACGGCCCAGACUCCUACGGGAGGCAGCAGUGGGGAAUAUUGGACAAUGGGCGCAAGCCUGAUCCAGCCAUGCCGCGUGGAUGAUGAAGGCCCUAGGGUUGUAAAGUCCUUUCGGCGGGGAAGAUAAUGACGGUACCCGCAGAAGAAGCCCCGGCUAACUUCGUGCCAGCAGCCGCGGUAAUACGAAGGGGGCUAGCGUUGCUCGGAAUCACUGGGCGUAAAGCGCACGUAGGCGGCUUUUUAAGUCAGGGGUGAAAUCCUGGAGCUCAACUCCAGAACUGCCUUUGAUACUGAGAAGCUUGAGUCCGGGAGAGGUGAGUGGAACUGCGAGUGUAGAGGUGAAAUUCGUAGAUAUUCGCAAGAACACCAGUGGCGAAGGCGGCUCACUGGCCCGGUACUGACGCUGAGGUGCGAAAGCGUGGGGA
rnacentral:rRNA from 1 species